rnacentral:rRNA from 1 species
GACCGCAAACCGACACAGGUGGGUGGGUAGAACAUACCGAGGCGAUCGGGUCAACCAUGGUCAAGGGACUCGGCACAAUGGCCCCGUAGCUUCGGGAGAAGGGGUGCCCGCGCGUACGUGAACCGGCUCGCCCGGGGAGCGGAGGCGGGCCGCAGUGGAGAGGCCCAAGCGACUGUUUACCAAAAACACAGGACUCUGCAGAAGCCGCAAGGCGACGUAUAGGGUCUGACGCCUGCCCGGUGCCGGAAGGUCACGCGGAGGAGUUAGCCGUUAAGGCGAAGCCCCGAAGCCAAGCCCCGGUAAACGGCGGCCGUAACGAUAACGGUCCUAAGGUAGCGAAAUUCCUUGUCGGGUAAGUUCCGACCUGCACGAAAGGCGCAACGACUUGGGCGCUGUCUCGACCAUGGACCCGGUGAAAUUGCACUGGUCGUGAAGAUGCGACUUACCCGCGGAAGGACGGAAAGACCCCGUGAACCUUCACUGCAGCUUGGCAUUGGCCGCUGGUCCCGCGUGUAGAGGAUAGGCAGGAGGCAUCGAUCCGGAGGCGCCAGCCCCCGGGGAGCCGCCCUUGGAAUACUGCCCUCGCGCGACCGGCGUCCUAACCCGAGGCCGUCAACCGGCUCGGGGACCGUGCCAGGCGGGCAGUUUGACUGGGGCGGUCGCCUCCUAAAGGGUAACGGAGGCGCGCGAAGGUCCGCUCGGGACGGUCGGCAACCGUCCUUUUGAAUGCAAGAGUACAAGCGGGCUUGACUGCGAGGCCCACAAGCCGAGCAGGUGCGAAAGCAGGCUCUAGUGAUCCGGCGGCCCCGAGUGGGUGGGCCGUCGCUCAACGGAUAAAAGGUACUCCGGGGAUAACAGGCUGAUCUUGCCCAAGAGUCCACAUCGACGGCAAGGUUUGGCACCUCGAUGUCGGCUCAUCGCAUCCUGGGGCUGGAGCAGGUCCCAAGGGUACGGCUGUUCGCCGUUUAAAGCGGUACGCGAGCUGGGUUCAGAACGUCGUGAGACAGUUCGGUCCCUAUCCUCCGUGGGCGCAGGAGAAUCGAUGGAGGCUGCCCCCAGUACGAGAGGACCGGGGUGGACGCACCUCCGGUGAACCGGUUGUCGACCAACGGCACGGCCGGGUAGCCGCGUGCGGCGCGGAUAACCGCUGAAGGCAUCUAAGCGGGAAGCCGUUCCAGGGAUUAGUUCUCCUUCCGGUAAGGGCCCAGGUAUACUACCUGGUCGAUAGACGGCAGGUGCAAGGCUGGCGACAGCCUCAGCCGAGCCGCACUAAUCGCCCGAGCUCUU